CCCUUAAAUGUUCUAGGCCGCACGCGCGCUACACUGAUACAAGCACCAAGCAAUCUCCUAGGUCGAAAGAUCCGGGUAAUCUUGUGAAAUUGUAUCGUGAUAGGGCUUGACGAUUGUAAUUAUUUGUCACAAACGAGGAAUUCCUAGUAAGCGCAAGUCAUCAACUUGCACUGAUUACGUCCCUGCCCUUUGUAUACACCGCCCGUCGCUCCUACUGAUUGAAUGUUAAGGCGAAUGCUCCGGAAUUGCCGUUCGGAUUGGGCAACCUUUCUGAACCAACGAUGAAACUGUGUAAGCCUUGACAUUUAGAGGAAGGAAAANUCGUAACA
rnacentral:rRNA from 1 species